CCUACGGGGGGCAGCAGUGGGGAAUAUUGCACAAUGGGGGAAACCCUGAUGCAGCGACGCCGCGUGAGUGAAGACGUCUUUCGGUAUGUAAAGCUUUAUCAGCAGGGAAGCAGAAAGACGGUACCUGACUAUGAAGCCCAGGCUAACUACGUGCCAGCAGCCGUGGGAAGACGGCAGGGGCCAGCGUUAUCCGGAUUUACUGGGGGUAAAGGGAGCGUAGACGGCUGUGCAAGUCUGAAGGUAAAGUCCAGGGCGCAACCCUGGGACUGCUUUUGAAACUGUGGAGCGAGAGUGCUGGAGAGGUAAGUGGAAUGCGUAGGGUAGCGGUGAAAUGCGGAGAUAUUAGGAGGAACACCAGUGGCGAAGGCGGCUUACGGGACAGUAACUGACGUUGAGGCUCGAAAGCGUGGGGAGCAAACAGGAUUAGAUACCCGAGUAGUC
rnacentral:rRNA from 1 species